rnacentral:tRNA from 1 species
GGAAUGUAGCUUAGUGGUAGAGUACUUGCCUAGCAUGCAUGAAGCCCUGGGUUCAAUUCCUCAGUACCA